rnacentral:rRNA from 1 species
GUGAGUGAAGUAAGGGUUUCCGGCUACGUAAAGCUCUGUUGGUAGUGAAGAAAGAUAGAGGUAGUAACUGGCCUUUAUUUGACGGUAAUUACUUAGAAAGUCACGGCUAACUACGUGCC